rnacentral:tRNA from 1 species
GGCCAGUUAGCUCCGUUGGUUAGAGCGUGGUGCUAAUAACGCCAAGGUCGCGGGUUCGAUCCCCGUAGGGGCCA